rnacentral:lncRNA from 13 species
CAGGGACAAGCCUUGCAUAACCCCCCCACCCUUCAGACGGAACAGGAUUGAGGGGAUGGACACGUCCAUGAUGUGACCUGAGUUCCAGAUGAGUCCUGCUGCCCUUAGGGGUCCUGGAGAGGGUUAUACUGCUGCCUUAGGGGUCCUGGAGAGGGNNNNNNNNNNUAGGUGCAGUAGGCCUGUCAGUAGUCACUGAGCCCUGAGCUAGCUGAAAUGCUAGCCAGGCAGUGAACACACAACACAACCCCAAGAAGGAAGUUGUUGAGCAAACAGAGCCAGGGAUCAUUCAGCCCCAGGUAUCUAGGGAUCCCAACUUGGAAGACCAGACACAGGCAGGAACACCAGGAACAGAGCCCACUCUGAGGAUAAUCCACAACACCUGGCGAAACACCUCUACUCUGCACUGCCUGCCAGUGUGACUCCAAAAUGGAGGAUGAAUCCAUGUGAGCAUCCUUCCACCCCUGUGGAUCCCCAUAGGAGACCCUGCGUGGCUAUGAACGUACAGCACUGCACAGGCCAACUGAGGUAUGAGCGCUAGUGAACACCCAGCACUGAUGCAACUGGUGAAAAGACUGGUUCCGCAACACUAGAAUGACCCCAGACACCAGGAACACAUAGAGCAGGGCCACAAUCCACAGCAGAGAGAUGACUGCUAAGAACACGAUCUUUAGAUCCCAGCAUGGAGUCCUCAUGGUGUAGGGUGAAGUUGCCCCUAGAUGGAGAUGCUGGGUGAGUUUAGCAUUUUGCCCACUAAUGGUUACCGUCAGGAUUGGGGGAGCCCGGGAAGCUGAUCCUAGAUCUCUAACUUCACCCCAGAGCGAAGUGGUCUCAGUCCAGUAGUGGUCUAGCCCAGUCAGAACCACCACAGGCCAGAGGAGGCGGUCGUAAGACCAACGGGCGAUCUGGACUAGCAGACAGAUGUGGUGCCUGGUGAGGUGCUAGCCCAAGAGGGAGGUGUCUCCCUGAGAGAGGGAGAGAGAGAAUGUUGUUUAUUUUACUCAGCAAGACAUUGUACAAGUGGCAGCAACAAGCUCAAUUGCGAGUACAACUUUUAAUAAGACAAUACUAAAUGAAAAAAUAAGCAAACGAUGAAAGUAAAUAAGUUCAGUAAUUUUGACUCCGGCUGAGCAGCCUUCUAUCAAAAUCAAUCAAUCAGCUGUACCGGGAGAACAAGCUCAGCAGGGUGUCCACCACGGUCAGAGAGAAGAGAACAGACCCAGGAAGUGGCCGAUUUAAUUAGGGCCGAUUUCGAGUUUUCAUAACAAUCGUAAAUCUGUAUUUUUGGGCGCCGAUUUGCAAUUUUUCAAAAACAAAUUAUAUACCUUUAUUUAACUAGGCAAGUCAGUUAAGAACACAUUCUUAUUUUCAAUGACGGCCUAGGAACGGUGGGUUAUCUGCCUUGUUCAGGGGCAGAACGACAGAUUUUCACCUUGUCAGCUCGGGAGAUCCAAUCUUGCAACCCUACAGUUAACUUGUCCAACGCAAUAACGACCUGCCUCUCUCGUUGCACUCCACAAGGAGACUGCCUGUUACGCGAAUGCAGUAAACAAAGGUGAGUUGCUAGCUAGCAUUAAACUUAUCUCAUAAAAAACAAUCAAUCAUAAUCACUAGUUAACUACACAUGGUUGAUGAUAUUGCUAGAUAUUAUCUAGCGUGUCCUGCGUUGCAUAUAAUCUGACUGAGCAUACAAGUAUCUAAGUAUCUGACUGAGCGGUGGUAGGCAGAAGCAGGCGUGUAAACAUUCAUUCAAACAGCACUUUCGGGCAUUUUGCCAGCAGCUCUUCGUUGUGCGUCAAGCAUUGCGCUGUUUAUGACUUCAAGCCAAUCAACUCCCGUGAUGAGGCUGGUGUAACCGAAGUGAAAUGGCUAGCUAAUUAACACGCGCUAAUAGCGUUCCAAACGUCACUAGCUCUGAGCCUUCUAGUAGUUGUUCCCCUUGCUCUGCAUGGGUAACGCUGCUUCGAUGGUGGCUGUUGUCGUUGUGUUGCUGGUUCGAGCCCAGGGAGGAGCGAGGAGAGGGACGGAAGCUAUACUGUUACACUGGCAAUAAGAACAUCCAAUAGUCAAAGGUUAAUGAAAUAUAAAUGGUAUAGAGGGAAAUAGUCCUAUAAUUCCUAUAAUAACAACAACCUACAACUUCUUACCUGGGAAUAUUGAAGACUCAUGUUAAAAGGAACCACCAGCUUUCAUAUGUUCUCAUGUUCUGAGCAAGGAACUGAAACUUAGCUUUCUUACAUGGCACAUAUUGCACUUUUACUUUCUUCUCCAACACUUUGUUUUUGCAUUAUUUAAACCAAAUUGAACAUGUUUCAUUAUUUACUUGAGGCUAAAUUUAUUUUAUUGAUGUAUUAUAUUAAAAUAAAAUAAGUGUUCAUUCAGUAUUGUUGUAAAAAAAAAAAAAAAAGGCUGAUUAAUCGGUAUCGGCUUUUUUGGUCUUCCAAUAAUCGGUAUCGGCGUUGAAAAAUCAUAAUCGAUCAACCUCUAGUUUAGGUAUGCUCGGUGGAAGAGGAGCAGGGACAAGCCUUGCAUAACCCCCCCACCCUUCAGACGGAACAGGAUUGAGGGGAUGGACACGUCCAUGAUGUGACCUGAGUUCCAGAUGAGUCCUGCUGCCCUUAGGGGUCCUGGAGAGGGUUAUACUGCUGCCUUAGGGGUCCUGGAGAGGGUUAUACUGCUGCCUUANNNNNNNNNNCGUCUUUAAUCGUGGAUCAUAAUUGAUAUUUACUAGUAAAUGACGACGACCUGUACUUGCUUUUAGCGAAUACCUCAGUUGUAUAUCUCGUGUUGUGUUUUUCCUCCCGCCCUUAUUUCACAUCUUGUAAAUAUACACUGUAUAAACAAUGAACUUGGAUCACGUUCAAGUAAAGUUCUGUAGUGUCACAAUUGGUGUCGGGAAUCUUCUUUUCUUCGGGAGUCGAGACUGAUGUCAUGUGUUGUCGUAGACCAUCACUGAUAGCUUAAAGUAGAAUAGUUCAUCUUCAUAGGCAAUUAGCUGUACAUCAGCCAGUCAAAGUUUAGACUAUAACUAGAGUACAAAAAACAGAACUGUACAUCAUAAAAUUAACUCAUUACAUUGUCUGCAUCAUUAUCCAAAAUACAACAAUGGCCUACACAUCAAGUAGACAUAACUGUAAAUAUGCAGAUAUUUUUGUGUUCAUGUUAAAAAAAAGUUAACAUGAGAAUGACAACUGACCAGUCGGUCUUAUUAUUAUUCUCGGUACCCAGAACCAAACCUUGCGUUGUGUAAUAUUUAAUAUUUCAUGAGAGACGACAUAAUCUUACAAGUCGAGACUGAGUGUGAUUUAUAAAUACCCUGUUAAGAUUUG